rnacentral:rRNA from 1 species
UUGAGCGAUUUACUUCGGUAAAGAGCGGCGGACGGGUGAGUAACGCGUGGGUAACCUACCCUGUACACACGGAUAACAUACCGAAAGGUAUGCUAAUACGGGAUAAUAUAUUUGAGAGGCAUCUCUUGAAUAUCAAAGGUGAGCCAGUACAGGAUGGACCCGCGUCUGAUUAGCUAGUGGGUAAGGUAACGGCUUACCAAGGCGACGAUCAGUAGCCGACCUGAGCGGGUGAUCGGCCACAUUGGAACUGAGACACGGUCCAAACUCCUACGGGAGGCAGCAGUGGGGAAUAUUGCACAAUGGGCGAAAGCCUGAUGCAGCAACGCCGCGUGAGUGAUGAAGG